rnacentral:siRNA from 1 species
UCAUGGGGAUCUAUUUGGCCGCA